GUGCGAGCUAGUGAAUUCCAACAGGUGCUUCUCUUGGAUUCACCAUUCAUACAGUAUUCCGCUGCAAGCAUCUGGUAAGGUUAGUUACUCAGCCUAGUAAGUUCAUUCAUUUCCAAUUAAAAUACGGGCCUCCUUUAGCUUCGCAAAGUUUGUGCAGGUCUCCCAAAUGUCCCUCAGGGCUGCAUCAUGAGCCCCCCGGUAGCAGCCCAGCAGCUCUGGAAGUGAUUGCCUGAGGGCAUGAACCACCCAAGGGCCACUGGGAUAUUUUGAAUGGCUCCUGGUCCCUCCACUGGGGCUGGAGCUUCCAGGAGGGAAACAGUUGAGCCAUGUAGGGGAGUCUAUCAUACGCUUUGCAUGCCGAUCACACAAUCCUUCCUUUGCUCCAACGCAAAACCUGAGCAACCUCAUUGAGAGUGUGUGUUUGAACACCAAAUAUAAAGAGGACUAAGCAAGGAAAAAUCCAGAAAAAAUUAAUACCCAUGACUCAGCAAAUUGCCAUCAAGUGCUGGAUUGCCAGCAUUGCAGAGAACAAUGAUUUUAUUCUUCAAGUAUGCUAUUACCGCCAGGAAAAAUGAACAGCAAAUGAAAUGGUUACAGCAGUGCAAUAUAUUUUAUUAUAUUUUUGUAAAGUUGAGUGGCUUCAGAGUCACAUAUGCUCUGCUUUGAAAUUAUCUCUGACAUUUAGUAAUAUAGAUAUUCAUGAUCCUGGAGCUGAGAUUGCAGGCAGCAAACUUUUUUGAGUAGCAUACACUAAACUUUGAUUUGUAUCUCUUUCAUCGUACCUACUCAGCAUGCGGAUGGGAAUUUUUUGCUUCGGGUAGGUGAGUGAUUUAUAGUUCUGGUUACCAGGGAAAUAUUUGCCGGAAGAGUUCAGAAUUCUCUCCCACUCUGCAAGCCUGAAUAUGCCCUGUGCCGUGGCGGCUGGGUCAGCCAAAGCCAUUCAUGGCUCUCCAGCAUCCCAAGCUUGGGUCCAAACAGCCUUCAUCUAAUUAGCAACAUCCACUGCAUUUGCUUUGCUUUGCUUUGCUUUGCUUUGCUUUGCUUUGCUUUGCUGGGCUGCUCCCCAGUUUUGCUACUGCAAGGCCUAUAGCAGGAACCUUCAGCUAACUAGGCAUCUGUGAAUUUACUUAAAUCUGCCAAAUUACCAUUGCUGUAUUCCCAGCAGUUCAGCAUUCCUCUGUCAUUAAGACAGAAGAUGCAUUAUCGGUUUUUGUAUAAUUGGUUUAUUAUUAUUUUGAAACAAUUGUCUUCUUGACACUAGGGGGAAAACCUCUUACUCAACAUGACAUUGCCCUUCCCAAUGACAGAUGAGGACUCGGGAGACAGCCACAAGGAGGGCCGUGUCUCUGAUGCAACUCCCAAACAAGUGGCUGCGUGGAAAACCUUGCUGCUUCCUCUGUCAAAGGCACAGCAGGUUGAGAAAAGGGAUGCUGCCGUGGUUCUGCCAUUUGUUAAGCUUCGAAUGCAAAUGCUGCCAGUUCUAAUGAGUGAACAUUACAGCCCUCAUGCAAGUUCCCCUUCAGCUCAGAAUUCUAAUCCAAGUCAGAAUCCAGCUGCUCCCCCGGCUGAUGUACUCGAUGCUCCGGCUGUUCCCACACCGUUCCAGUUUCCAUACAGCCAUGGCAGCAGGAGCCCCGGGGCGUUUGAGGAUUUCUGAUGGAUGCCAGAGGAGAGAGGCUCUGAAGCUAGGGAGGCUGUUGGAGGACCAGGAAGGAGGGGAUGAGAUGCCUUGAAGGUUCAUAGGGGCUGCAGGGAUUUGAUUUGACCCAGAAGAGGCCAUGCUAUUUCCAAGUGGGACGAGGGGCAGGUGAGACUCUGCCCAUCAUUACUUGUGAGGUCCCAAUUCUAAAUUAAAUAAAAAAAACUUAGUUGAAGACAUCUUCUCAGAAUGCAUCCUGACAAUUCAAGCAUUUGCAUCUUGGUGCCAUCUGGUGGAUCAAGAAAUGGAAAACCGGUGACUUACAUUCCCUCUACCUUUGAUCAGAAUUGUCUGAAACCCCUUUGGUCAUGCAGGGUGGGGGCACGGCAGGGAGAAAGCAACUGCUGGACACACAAGCAUUUGGUCCCUGCAGAAUUCCUCUUCCAGCAAGGUGUUUAGGAAAACUAGGAACAAAGGCAAUGUGUGUCUGGGAGGAGGGGCCAAUGUGUUCCUAAGUGGAUGCACAGUGGCCCCUUCUCUCCAGUGACCGUGAGGCUUGGUGCUGUAUCUUCUUCUAACCACAAAAUGUUCUCUCUCAAAAGGCUGGAAAAUCCGGAUGUUUAUUUUCUAGCAUGUGUAGUAUUAAAUGGGACCGCAGGUGGCGCAGUGGUUUAAACCUCUGUGCUGCUGGGCUGGUUGAUUGAAAGGUCGCCGGUUCGAAUCUGCACAACGGGGUGAGUUCCCGUUGCUCCAUCCCAGCUCCUGCCAACCUUGCAGUUCGAAAGCAUGCAAAAAAUGCAAGUAGACAAGAAGGUACCACUUCAUUGGGCAGAUAAUAGCGCUCCGUGCACUUCGUUGUUUAGUCAUGCCGGCCACAUGACCACAGAGACUGUCUGCGGACAAACGCUGGCUCCCUCGGCUAGGAAACGGAGAUGAGCACCGCCCCCUAGAGUCAGGCAUGACUGGAUGUAACCUCAAGGGGAAACCUUUACCCUUUCCCUUUAUAGUAUUAAAUAGUUCCUCUCAAAAUCCACAUGAUGAAACCACUGUAUGAAUAAAGGGAGAUCAAUACAAUCCACAAUAUUUUGAAACUGGGUUCCCAUUUGUUUGUUUUGUUUUAAUUUAGUUGCUGCAAAAAAUUAAUUUAUUAUGGCCAUCUUUUAAGGUCUUCCAUAUUCCAUUUUUCUUGUGGUACAUACUGAAUACAUUAUUGAAUUAUCUACAGACUUUCCUAAAAUUGAAUUAUGUGCACUCUGCAGUACCCCCUUCCGUUCAUAAAAUGAAUGCCAUCCUCUAAUUGUAUAAAGCAGCAAGUCAAUGCUGUUUAAAACUGGGGAUACAAAUGUGCAAAAGGCAUUUUGGCAGCCUAUGCAGCCAGUGGGAAAAUGAGAAACCUCUGCUAUUGUGCGCAGUACAAAAGGAAUAUUUCAGCACAAGGAUUCCAGUAAUUAAUUGUACUAAAUCUGUAGCAAUUACAAAUUUCAAGGGAGGGCACAGAAUAAUUCAGGCAGCCAAAAAGUGCAGUGCAUAUCAACAGGAGUAUUUUACGGAUUGAUUGACCAAUGUUAUCUAGAGAGAAAGAUGUGCUUAUGCAAAAGGGAGACUAAAAAAGAAACCAUGAGUAGGAGAGUGCACGCACAAUUGUGAUUUCCUCAUUUUGAACAAUGUAUAGCUGCCUGUCCUCAAGAUGUUUAGAGGCAAUCCUGAAAAACUGUUCCACAUAUCGGUAUGUUACAAAAACGCCACCCUCGUCUGGAGCUUCGUAGUGGGAGACUUUGCAAUUGCUGAGUGGAAAUACCGCUGCCUUGGAGUGCUGUUCAGCACAGAGCAUGUAAGGUGUAGGUAGAAUAGCUAGAACUGAUGCUCCCAGUCCACGUGGGCACUGAAGGGGAAGGAGAACCUUAUCGCGCCCCUCCGUACUCCUCAGAGAAGAGCCGUGCUGGAGCAGGGUCACAGGGCCGUCUUGUCCAGCAAGCUGCGCACACGGCCAGGCAGCUGCUCACAGGAUGCUCACAAGUAGGACAGGGCUGCUACAGCAGCCUCCUGUCCAAGCUCCUCCGGAGCUGAUGCACCCAAACCUUCAGGGCACGUCCAGGGCCCAGUGCUGAUCUCACAAGCAAUAGGUGGCUGCAACUUGACCUCUUAGUCAGCUUUAUGGAUGGUUUUCAGUAUUAUACCUGAGCUUGUUUUCCCUGGCUGUGAUCACAUUUUUGUAUGACAAACGAGGCCUGCGAAUCACCCCUUUUUAUUAUGCCACAAUUCAAAGUCACACGAGUAGCUAAGAGAAAAAUCCCAACCAAGAGGCCACAAAGUUGAACAGGCAUUCACCGUUUUUAUAUGGUUCAGUCUGGCCUGUAUCAUUAUGAAAUGAAUAAAGAACAUCACAAUUUGGUACGAUACUAUUUGAAUGGCUCUUGGGCUGCAAACAUGAUCAUGUACCACAAAAAUCAAUUAGGAACCGGUGAGCUUCUUCAAAUAAGAUUUAAAAUGGAUUUGGGCUAACCUGGAUUGAGCUUUAUUUAGUCUCAUUCUGAGCUUCCCAAGCUUCUUGUGAGCCUAGGUCCUCUUUCCCUUUCUCAAAGGUUAGCCAGUGGGUCUAUAGCAAGGAGUUUGACCAUGGCAGGACAGGGCUUCGACUCCUCAGGUCUCAGGAUCGUAGAGGCCUCAAGAUCCUAAAGGCUCUGCCACCCACGGUACUAAUGUGCAUAUUACAACUCCCAGGAAUAAUGGCCAUCCAUUGAAGACCAUGGCAGCAGUAGGUUUCAUUGCCACAGCCUGAUAAGAAACAAACCACCCAGCAUUGGGAAGGGCUUGUGCUGGGAAUUAUGAGCUGCAAGCAACCUUCAAAGUUGUUUGUCUCAGUUCCUAAUUAGCCUGUUUGGGGAAAUUCAUACUUUGAAAUCCCUACUUGGAGAGUUAGGUUUCACUACCACAAUUUGUAGGACUUGAUGUAAAUGUGGUUAGUGUGCAAAGAGUAGGCUAAAUGAAUAUAAAUACAAAGAAAGGUGAAAUAUUUUCUUCCUUUGUCCUGUAGCGUAUGGAAAGGUGCCUCAGGUACAGAGGAGAAGCAGCAAAAGCAGAAAAAUUAAAAAGUUCAGCUGUAUGAAAAUGCAGGAACUUACUGAAUGAUUAAUUUCCUAGGACAGCUUUCCAUUGUCCUCAAAUAAUAAUAGAAAUGUGUCACUCCCGUGCAUUAUAAUGACUUACUGGGAGAGGGACUUUGGGUCCACUCUAAUGGAUUUUCACUUUCCAUACUACUAAAAAUAAGUGCCUUUAGUUUAUCUUUUUGCAUGAUUCAGAACAGCAUGCAGAUGAAAUUAAGCCCAGAGCAACAAAUGAAUCCCCUAUAGAUUUCAGAAAAGCCAAGGGAAAGGGUUGUUAAAAUAGAUAAAUAGGAUGGUCCGUAAGUAAGGUACACUAUUAAGUAUUUGGACUUUUCAGGAACCCAAGGACAGAUGCAGUAGAAUCCAGAAUGAAAUCUGCAUUGUGUGGGAAAUGUCUAGCCAGGCAGAGGUAUGCGCAUGGAUGGAUAAAGAUGAACAAGAAAAUGUAAGCUUACAUCUGUUUGUAUGAUGCUCCAUGCAUUAGUUAGGCCAAUAUUUCCAUCAGUUCCAUACAAAUGAAGCCCUUUCUUCAGGUCACGCUGAGCAUACUUAUCAAUCUGAAAACAAAGCAGAUAGAGUCGCAUGUAAGGAUGCAGGCCUUUGUAAUCUCCAAAAUGACACUUUCCAGCAGAGUUUCCCUUGGGAAGGCAUCUGAUGAGAGCACUGAAAGAGAGAUGCUGCUGCUUAUAAAUUUUGGCUGAUAAAGAAAACAAGGUGUCUGUGUGUCAUGUUUUCUGAUUCUUUUGAACUAUAUAGUUCAAUAUCAAAAAGUGUACCUGAUAUGAAAGUGACAUCACCGUAUUGAGUGAAAAAGCCUUGUUAAUUUUUAAAGCAUCAUAAUGCAUUUAUAACAACCAUAAGUGUGACCGCAGUUGGCAUAAUCACUGCACCUCAGACUAGGGCAACCAAAAUGAUCCAACACAUCCCCAGAAAAAACGAUGAUGUGUGGGGUUUUUUAACAGGAAGCAGUGCCUAAGCAGGAACAUGAUAUACAGGUGUAUACAAUUCUGCAUUUCAUUCUCAGUUUCUCAUAAUUCCAGAACUUGGUGUCUUCUAACGAACCUAAAUGUGGGGAGAUGUAGAAAAGAGAAAGGAAGCUGCUGCGAUGGCUGUUAACAUGGACAACUUUAUAAGCGGAUUAGACAAAUAAAAUAAAGAGAAAAGGCUUCAAAGUGAAGGUGCAUGGAGCAACUCAAUAUUGGAAGAGGAUUAUCAGUACCGUAGACUGGAACAGAUGUCAUUUUAGCAGCAUAUAUCCAGGAGUGGUUGCCCUUGACAAAAAAGAAUGUCUUAAUAAAAGAAAAAGUUCUGA